AGGACAUUUCAUCUUAAUGGUGUGACCAAAGAUUGACGUUCUCUACAGAAUGCCAUGGUCACUCACUAAUGCUGUGUUUUCCCUAGGAGAUAUAAAA
rnacentral:snoRNA from 1 species